CUUUGCACUACAUCCUCACGACUAAUGACAACCUUUACCCUGCCCAUGCAGAUAAAGCCUCUCAUUAGCCGCGCGAACCUCUGCAAUGAAAGAUCAUAAUUAAAACAAUACUACAUUACCCUUUCUUACCGGCGCAUCCUAGAAGAAAGGGGCCCAAAGAGGCCCCUUCCC
rnacentral:sRNA from 1 species